AGGAGGUGAAAGUGGGAAGGAGAUUUUUUUUUUUGAAGGCGGCCGAGGUAAAGGAGGGGAAGGGGAUUGGUCUUCAGCCUUCAGAUCUACCCGCCUGCAGGGCAGAAGGGCUCUGUUGAUUUUGGAUGGAUUUUCUCCAGCUUUACACCAGGAGGGGGUUGACCUGCCGUUGCCCAUGGAGCGUGGGAUGGUUUCUUGGUCUUUUCUGGGAGCAUCUCUGGCCAACCUGUGGCUCUUGGCGAGGACACGGAGCCCAGCAGACCCCGGAGCAGCGCCGCCGGUCAGGGCUGCACACAGCCGCUCAGCCAGCGCAGGGUUAAAUCGAGUUAAUCCCGGGGAUUUACUCCAGAUUAACCCCGGGGAAUUGAGAGCAGCAGUUCGGUUUUAUGCAAAGGGGUCGGGUUUGCAAUGGCAGAGGAAACCCAACAGCAUUACCCACUCGGGGCGGGGUGGGGGGGGGUCACAGAUCUGGGUAAGAGUGUUGCUGAGGCCAGAAUUUAGGCAAUGUAAUAUAGCAAGAGCUGCCAAACCAGGCAGGGGAAAGAAACUUUAUUCAAUCAUCUGCUUUACUUAUUUCAUAGCUGAGGAAAUUCAUCUAUUCCUUUGGACUUGUUUGUGCUGUGAAAGCUCUGUGUUGUCACGAGGCAAAGAAACUGUUAGAGAGAAUAAAAAGGGCGACGCUGAGCUGCAACCCGCCUUAAAAUGCUGCAUCCGGAUAGGAAACAUAAAACAACAAAUUAGGGAAAAGAGCCCCACGGUUUUUCCGAAGCCAAGGGUGAGGUCUGAUCGCUCCUCACCAAGUCACUGGGAUUAGGAAGGCAUUAACAGGAAUGACAACUUGACGGGUUUUAGCAAAGCGUCGUGACACUGUGACAUCGCCUUUCCAAAAAAUAACGUAUUUGGGGGUGUGCACGCAGAACUACACGUACGUACGCACCCAUGUGCGCAGAAGGAAAGCCUGGGAGGACUCAAAGUUGUCACUAGAAAGGGGCCAGCAUGGGACCGAGCUGUCCCAGGAAGGGCUACAGAGAUGCACCUGCAUCAUUUCAUCAAUUCAAAGGGAGCAGCCGUUUAAGCAUUGAUCUUAAUUUCAGGAGGUUCAGGAUGAAAAUGAACUAACUCCAAGAAAUUGCCAGUGCUUCAUCUGAAAUGCAAAACUACGUGCCUGGUGCCUGAGCGGCUAUGACCUGUCAUGUCAAAGCUUUUUAUUAAAGUCUCUUAAUCCCCAGAUUAUCACCACAAUAGUUCCACAGGCCCAUUCCAGAUAAGGCCGGGCCCAUUGUGGAGAUGCACAUUGGAGGAGUUUUAAUCUGCAAAUUAUUGGCAUGCAAGACCAUGAGGGGCUGCUUUGCUGGGUUGCCCGUUGCGUCAAGGGGAAUUGAAUAUUUAUAAAGAAGACUUCAAAUGGGCCAUGCACUGUAUUCCUCCCACACAUGUGUAAUCCCCAUGUGGCAGAGGGGCCCUCCUGAAAGAAAAAAACCCUCCUGCGCAGCCACGACACACAUGGACUCCCCCAGACACCACACAGCCUUGGUGGAAAGAAGGUGAGCAGGGCUAGGGGGAAGGGGCUGGUCCCCUCCUCCAAAACACCCCGUUUGAGCCACACAGGUUGCAUGAUCUGAUUUUUAAGAGAGAAAUUAUAAGAGCGGAACGGCAGAGCUGGUGAUGGAAACUUCAUUUCUCCCUUGAAUACCGGGGGAGGACAGCAAACAGAAAAAGACCCUGAUAAGGAUCCUUUGCUGACACAAAACAUGCCAUGUGGAGCGAAGGCUAAUGCUGUAUACGAAACUAAUUAGCAGUUACCUUCUAGAUUAAGGAACUACUCAAGCAUCUGUUUCACUGAAGUGUUUUUACAAAAAGAGAUGGCCCUCCUGACAGAUUUGAAAAUGUCAUCCCUCGGCUCUGGGGGCUCCCAGAGGAGGUGCUGGGGAGCCCAGGAGAGACCAUCUCCUCACAGAGUGUUUCCAGACUGGCAGGCCAAAGCAGGACGUGCCCUUUCUUCCCUGCAGUGGUGUUUGUACAAGCACCUUGUUGCCCCUGACUUCAAAGGCCCCCAAACAAAAAUUCACAUGGAAAUGCUGCAUAAACAAGUAUCGAUUGGGAGCGUCACAGAUCUGAGCGGGGUGGGCUUAAUCAUAGGCGGAGCAGAGCCCAUGGAACUGAGCAGAACCUCUCCAGCCCAAAUCCUGGCUACCACUCACAGAGAUGCUGAGCCCCUCUUGAUCCUACUGAGAUCCCAGCCCUGGGUCAGGCUGCAGCAUCCAUCAGGGCAGAUCAGUCUCAGCCCUCAGCAGCAAUUUGAGACCUUCUCCGUUAGCAGAUAAGGCUGAGGAUAGUCCAGGACACGGCUUGGCUCUCGGCGUGUCAUCUCCCAUCGCUCGCUAGGCGCGGAUGACACCCAGUCGCUGGGGAUCUGGCUCAGGAUCUGCAGACUUGGACUCAGCUCCAGCUCUGCCACAGCCUUCCCGUACGACCUUGGGCCAGCUGCUUAGGUUUCCUCCAUACCUGUUUCCCAUCUGUUAGAAAAUGACUGGGUAUAUUAAAGGGUGCAUGUGAAGAUAAGUAAACUGUGAGGCUAUUAUUAGCUAUUACACUGAUAGGGCCCAAAUGUUCCUAUUUUCUGUAACAGCUCAAGAACUUAAGCAGGCAGAAAAAGGCUUCAGGAAAAUAAAGCACUGCCUUUGUGGGGUCUCCUCUCAAAGGAGAGAGGUGUGUCUUCCUUCAGAAUCAGCUCUUCAUGCAUUUUAUGAAAUUGCAAUGCCCACAUUUUCCCUAACGGCUUUUGUUCCAGCCAGUGAAACAGCCUCCAGUAGCCUUUGGCUUAUGGAAACCUUCCAAUGUGCUUAAUAUUACCUGCAAUGCCUGUAUUAAUCAUAACGUGCAGGUGCCAGAGCCACCGGAGGGAAGGAGAAGGGAGAGGCCAGGUAAUUUAUCGCUAUACGGCCCCAGCGUGAGCGGUUGCAUUAGUCCAAAAAUUACUUUGCUUGCUGGUUCCCAAAGUUCUUGGGAGUACAAACAGGAGAGGGGGUUAUCUGUGAAUCAUCUGUCAUCUCUAAAGCUUUUGGCUACAACCUUUUUGUGACUUGUGGAAAAAAAAAAAUUAUAAAUACAGUGCGGGGGUGGGGGAAGUGACUAAUUGAGUGCAGUAAUUAAAUGCAGCUCCCAAAAAACCUGAGCAUGUUCCUUCAGCCAUCAGCACCCUGAGUGAGGGGUGAGAAUGCCUCCAGGAUUUGCCAGGGUUGGGUUACUGCAGAGCUUUAGGAUGAGGGGCAGCAUCAUCUGGCAGAGCACGUUUUCAUGUGACGCAGUCAACGCAUGGGCAAAAUACUGGGUUUUGAAACGUACAGGCCUGGGCGGUGGUGCUGAAGCAGGCAAUUAGCUCUUGCUCUUGCCCCGUUUGGGGGCAGCCAAAAUAAAGAUGUGUUUAGUGCUGUGAGGAAAUGUAGGGCAAGGACUAAUACCAGCAGGCAAAGUCAGAGCGUAACGCAGUCACCUGGGCCACCAGAUUUGCAGGCAAGGCCAACAGCUUCCCCCAGACAUGUAAAGGCACUAAAUAAAACUGGUACCCAGCUUGGAAAACUUCCGCUCCAGAUAGUAAAACCUGCAGGAUAAAAUACCAGAAUCAAUAUAUCCCGGAUGCCAAAUGAAGCCAUUUGUAUCCACUUGUUCCCUCCCUGGCUCAAUUAAUAAAGGCAGCCAAAGAAAUACCGAGCACAUUUCCUUUCAGAAAUCUCCCCAAACUUAGUGACAUUUGGAAUCACACAAGACAGCUGCACCGUGAGAUAAGUUAAAUGAUGUAUUCAGAAAUGGCUCGGUUCAGAAGGUUGCAUCUUUCAUAGGAGCCUGGCGCCGAAAUCUGUGUUGUGUUCUUCAAAUGUGGAAUAACUCUUCUUUCCGGUUUACAUAUAUUGAUGAAUACACUUGAAAGAUGGCCGGAUUUCUGUAUAGCACAGUGCUUUCUUUUCCUGACACAUGGAUCCAUCUGCCAACAUCACAGACCUAAUUAGUACUCUCUUAUUUCUAUUCACUGGCUAGUAAGCAUGUGGCAUCUUUCCACAAGCCUAUAAAUCCUCACUCUACGCAGACAUAUACCAUAUUGCGAUGGGUGGGUUAUAACCUCAGUGAAACUGGCAGUUGCAGUUGCCUUUCCAUUGAGGCUUAAUGUCAUGAUAGCCAAAACAAGAGAGACCAUCACCCAAAACACAGGCUGGCACAGCAAGGCUGGGGAUGCAAUUCUGAGUUUCCCAGCUCUCAGCUACCACAUCCCUGUCCUCAAAGAGCCACACACACUGCUUCUGGGUCAAUACAAUUGUUUACAGGGUCAUCGUUGAAACUGGAUCUGUGUAAUGGUCAAAAAAAAAUCCAGCACAGAGGCUUGGUUGUAAAGGCAGAUGUGAUUUGUGCAGUUUAUUAUAAUGUAUCAAAUGCAAGAGGUAGGAAGAAGAAAUGGCAAGGGCAUGAUGAGCACUGGAGACCCAGCUCUGAGAAAGGAGAAUUAGGAAAUCCCUUAAAUAAAACAGAAAGAAGGUAGAGGUAUAUCUGCCUUCAGUUCUCCUCCAAACAGAACAAUGCACAACCCCUCCUAAAUCUGGUCAGCCCCGCAGGUGAAAAAUAUUGUGUGAAUAUGCACUAGAGGUUAUUGUUCUUCCCAUGCUGGGGAGAGUUAUUUGGAAGCCUCCUGCUGGUGUUAAAUUAAAUUACCCAUAUAAAUAGCACCGGAGGUGACGGACAAUAGAUCCCACUGGUUUGCAAGCAGGCUGCUCUAUAAUGGGCUGAAAGGUAGAGCUAUUGUAACAUGCUCUAAAAGGCACCUAUUUAAGUUAGAUCUCAUCAAACUUCCACCUGGUGUAAGUUACUUUACAGACCUCCCCCUGCAACGAUAUCCAACUUCUGCUGUGCAAGAGUCAAGCCUACCAAAUACCUAAGGAGUCAGUAGCAAAGUGCUUUAAUUACUCUUACGGUGUUAUUUUUGGAUUUCCACUAAUUUUGCUAAUAAUCCAUUUGAGUGUCUAUAUUCAUAUUUCUAGCAUUUUCAAAUAGUG